rfam:Picea glauca, whole genome shotgun sequence.
ACAUGCCUACAUCAUAGUGUUAAUGCAUCAAAUUCCUUUAGAACUUUGCAGUUAAGCGUGCUCAGGCUAGAGUAGUACUGGGAUGGGUGACCGACUGGGAAGUCCUAUUGUUCUACAUGAC